AUCGAAAGCUUGCUUCCGAUAGGCGUCGACCGGCGCACGGGUGAGUAACGCGUAUCCAACCUGCCCAUCACUUGGGAAUAACCUUGCGAAAGUAAGACUAAUGCCCAAUGACAUUUAUAGAAGGCAUCUGAAAUGAAUUAAAGAUUUAUCGGUGAUGGAUGGGGAUGCGUCUGAUUAGCUUGUUGGCGGGGUAACGGCCCACCAAGGCGACGAUCAGUAGGGGGUUCUGAGAGGAAGGUCCCCCACAUUGGAACUGAGACACGGUCCAAACUCCUACGGGAGGCAGCAGUGAGGAAUAUUGGUCAAUGGGCGAGAGCCUGAACCAGCCAAGUAGCGUGCAGGAAGACGGCCCUAUGGGUUGUAAACUGCUUUUAUAAGGGAAUAAAGUUAGUCUCGUGAGACUUUUUGCAUGUACCUUAUGAAUAAGGACCGGCUAAUUCCGUG
rnacentral:rRNA from 1 species